rnacentral:rRNA from 1 species
AGCUCGUGUUGUGAGUGUUGUGAAAUGUUGGGUUAAGUCCCGCAACGAGCGCAACCCUUAUCCUUUGUUGCCAGCGAUUCGGUCGGGAACUCAAAGGAGACUGCCGGUGAUAAACCGGAGGAAGGUGGGGAUGACGUCAAGUCAUCAUGGCCCUUACGAGUAGGGCUACACACGUGCUACAAUGGCGUAUACAAAGAGAAGCGACCUCGCGAGAGCAAGCGGAACUCAUAAAGUACGUCGUAGUCCGGAUUGGAGUCUGCAACUCGACUCCAUGAAGUCGGAAUCGCUAGUAAUCGUAGAUCAGAAUGCUACGGUGAAUACGUUCCCGGGCCUUGUACACACCGCCCGUCACACCAUGGGAGUGGGUUGCAAAAGAAGUAGGUAGCUUAACCUUCGGGAGGGCGCUUACCACUUUGUGAUUCAUGACUGGGGUGAAGUCGUAACAAGGUAACCGUAGGGGAACCUGCGGUUGGAUCACCUCCUUA